UACGUAGGGGGCUAGCGUUGUCCGGAAUCAUUGGGCGUAAAGAGCGUGUAGGCGGUCCGGUAAGUCCGUUGUGAAAGUCAAGGGCUCAACCCUUGAAUGCCGGCGGAUACUGUCGGGCUAGAGUCCGGAAGAGGCGAGUGGAAUUCCCGGUGUAGCGGUGAAAUGCGCAGAUAUCGGGAGGAACACCGGUGGCGGAGGCGGCGAUCUGGACGAUGACUGACGCUGAGGAGCGAAAGCGUGGGGAGCGAACAGG
rnacentral:rRNA from 1 species